UAUAGUUUAGUAUAGGAUGUACAUUAAUUUUUGAAAUUAAAAGCAAUGCUUUAACCGAAUUAACUAUAA
rnacentral:tRNA from 1 species